UACGUAGGGGUGCAAGCGUUGUCCGGAAUUAUUGGGCGUAAAGAGCUCGUAGGCGGUUUGUCGCGUCUGCUGUGAAAACUCGGGGCUUAACCCCGGGCCUGCAGUGGGUACGGGGCAGACUAGAGUGCGGUAGGGGAGACUGGAAUCCUGGUGUAGCGGUGAAAUGCGCAGAUAUCAGGAGGAACACCGAUGGCGAAGGCAGGUCUCUGGGCCACUACUGACGCUGAGAAGCGAAAGCGUGGGGAGCGAACAGG
rnacentral:rRNA from 1 species